rnacentral:rRNA from 1 species
AACGAACGCUGGCGGCAUGCCUAACACAUGCAAGUCGAACGAGAUCUUCGGGUCUAGUGGCGCACGGGUGCGUAACGCGUGGGAAUCUGCCCUUUGGUUCGGAAUAACAGUUGGAAACGACUGCUAAUACCGGAUGAUGACGAAAGUCCAAAGAUUUAUCGCCAGAGGAUGAGCCCGCGUAGGAUUAGCUAGUUGGUGUGGUAAAGGCGCACCAAGGCGACGAUCCUUAGCUGGUCUGAGAGGAUGAUCAGUCACACUGGGACUGAGACACGGCCCAGACUCCUACGGGAGGCAGCAGUGGGGAAUAUUGGACAAUGGGCGAAAGCCUGAUCCAGCAAUGCCGCGUGAGAGAUGAAGGCCUUAGGGUUGUAAAGCUCUUUUACCCGGGAUGAUAAUGACAGUACCGGGAGAAUAAGCUCCGGCUAACUCCGUGCCAGCAGCCGCCGUAA